rnacentral:tRNA from 1 species
UCCUCUGUAGUUCAGUCGGUAGAACGGCCGACUGUUAAUCCGUAUGUCACUGGUUCGAGUCCAGUCAGAGGAGCCA